AAUAAGGAGCACCGUGACUAGGCACAGAUUAUUGACAGAGGUUGACCUGACUCUGGAAAAGGCAAUCAACAUAUGUCAACGUGAAAAAGGAGCGGUAUCAUCCCAGAAGAAUCGCAACACUAGAAAUAUUCAAGGUGUAUCGGCGUAUAAAAAGGGCAAGAAAACACUCAAGGCUCAAGAUUCCUGCCCUCGUCGAUGUGGAUCAUGUGGACGUAAAUCGGACGGAGAAUAGGAUAUUUGCUCUGCUCAGGAAAAUACUUGUCACUUGUCAACUGCGGCAAAGUUGGACACUUCAGCCCAUGUUGUCCCAAGAGAAAACGAUCUGUACAUUUGAAAGAUUCGGAGCCUCAUCCUGUCAAACCUGUGGACGAAGAGUUUGUCGCGGUGCAAAAAAGUUUAAACAAAUUAAGGAAGCUUACUCAUCGAGUGAUAUAAGAGAUGACGAGAAACUAACAAUCGUCGGUUCUUUGCUCCAUGGCCCCAUCAAUGAUGUCCAUAUUCCCCUCGAUUUUCCAACAAUCUAACUAACUUACCAAGGCUCGAUAGAAAGCGGACUCACUCCUCCCAGAAACGGUCACUUUUUCCUUCGAAGAAAAGACCAUACUCAUAAUUGCGCACUUUCGUCAAAAGUGUCCAGUUUUGUUAAAGUAAUAUUUAUUAUGUAAAUUGUUAUGGUUGUAAUAUAUUGUACAUUAUGCUA